rnacentral:misc_RNA from 1 species
GUGAAUCAUCGAAUCUUUGAACGCAAAUUGCACUCUCCUCGGAGAGUAUGCUUGUUUGAGGGUCAGCCUAUAAAAAAUCGACAUCGUUGCUGUUUCGCGGUGAUGUUCGUCGGAAGUUGGGUCAUCUUAAAUCCUUUUGGUUUUAAGCGACUUAAAAUUUUUCUUCACGAUUCCAUGAACGUUUCCAAGAUUUUUAUUUCUUAUACGUUUAAGGUUUAUCGAUCUUUUAUUAGACGUGACCGUCGCAUCGGAUCGCGUCCAUAAUGUUGACUUUCGUUAACUGACCUCAGACAGGUAAGAG